UACGAAGGGGGCUAGCGUUGUUCGGAAUCACUGGGCGUAAAGCGUAUGUAGGCGGAUCGUUAAGUCAGGGGUGAAAUCCUGGAGCUCAACUCCAGAACUGCCUUUGAUACUGGGGAUCUCGAGUCCGGAAGAGGUGAGUGGAACUCCGAGUGUAGAGGUGAAAUUCGUAGAUAUUCGGAAGAACACCAGUGGCGAAGGCGGCUCACUGGUCCGGUACUGACGCUGAGGUGCGAAAGCGUGGGGAGCAAACAGG
rnacentral:rRNA from 1 species